AUUGAACGCUGGCGGCAUGCCUUACACAUGCAAGUCGAACGGUAACAGGUCUUCGGAUGCUGACGAGAGGCGAACGGGUGAGUAAUACAUCGGAACGUGCCUAGUAGUGGGGGAUAACUACUCGAAAGAGUGGCUAAUACCGCAUGAGAUCUACGGAUGAAAGCAGGGGAUCGCAAGACCUUGUGCUACUAGAGCGGCCGAUGGCAGCUUAGGUAGUUGGUGGGAUAAAAGCUUACCAAGCCGACGAUCUGUAGCUGGUCUGAGAGGACGAUCAGCCACGCUGGGACGGAAACACGGCCGAGAAUGCUACGGGAGGCAGCAGUGGGGAAUUUUGGACAAUGGGCGAGAGCCUGAUCCAGCAAUGCCGCGUGCAGGAUGAAGGCCUUCGGGUUGUAAACUGCUUUUGUACGGAACGAGAAGCCCCGGGUUAAUACCCUGGGGUCAUGACGGUACCGUAAGAAUAAGCACCGGCUAACUACGUGCCAGCCGCCGCCGUUAA
rnacentral:rRNA from 1 species